rnacentral:tRNA from 1 species
GGAGGGGUGGCCGAGUGGACGAAGGCGCCUGACUCGAAAUCAGGUGACGGUUCUGCCGUCCGGGGGUUCGAAUCCCUCCCCCUCCG